UACAGAGGGUGCAAGCGUUGUUCGGAAUUAUUGGGCGUAAAGGGAGUGUAGGCGGUGAGUUAAGUCUUCUGUGAAAGCUGUGGGCUUAGCCUGCAAAGUGCAGAGGAAACUGGCUGACUUGAGUAUUGGAGAGGGCAGGGGAAUACCCAGUGUAGAGGUGAAAUUCGUAGAUAUGGGGAGGAACACCGGUGGCGAAGGCGGCCAUCUGGACGGUAACUGACGCUGAGACGCGAAAGCGUGGGUAGCAAACAGG
rnacentral:rRNA from 1 species